rnacentral:lncRNA from 1 species
GGUAAUAUUUGCUUACUACAACAAAAUUAAUCCUAGUGCAUUACAUGUAUAUGGAUUCUCAAUUGGUGUUAGCUUAAAUAUACAGAAAAGAGAGAAGAGAAGGUGGCUGUUCAGAAAACAAUCACAAAAUGCUCAACAAAAUGAAGGGAAGGUAAUUGCUGAUCCAAAGCAUGCAAUUGCAGUGGCCGCAGCAACAGCAGCAGCAGCUGAAGCUGCCGUGGCCACAGCUCAAGCAGCUGUUGAGAUCAUUCGGUUGACACGAUCCUCAAAUAAUCCACCUUCUUCAAACAGGCAACACAAUGCUGCUAUACUCAUCCAAACUGCAUUCAGAGGAUAUCUGGUAAGUGAGCUACAAGUUUUUUUUUUCUAACAAAGCAAAAAGAAAAGUUUUUGACCGUUAACUCCCUUCUGUCACCAUCUAUUUGUACUGACACGAUUGUUGUAAAAAUAUGAAUGGUUUAACAUUUGUUUAGACAUAUGUUGACUCCAUCACUAGAUUUUGACUUGUGCUGAAGAAAAUAAACUUCAGAGACUGUUUUCAGAAAAGUAAAUCUGAUUCUAGAAAAUUUAGUGAUUUUAGAGUUUAAAACUGGACAAUGGUUUUUUGUGACAAGUAAAAAUACUACUUACAGUCUAGCAUUUUAAAAGGAGAAAGCAUUCAGUACUCAGUAGUUAGUAGUUACCAUAAGUACUUAAUUCAGGGCUAGCUUUAGAUUGAGGACCAUAUUGAAUUGAUCACAAGUCAUGCAUUGGAAUGUUAAAUAUUUAUAGAUGUAGUGGUUAAUUAUUUACCUGUCAUGUGAAGCAGUUGAUUACUUAAUUUGUUGGUGCAGGCUAGGAGGGCACUAAUUGCAUUGAAGGGGAUAGUGAAGCUUCAAGCAUUAAUAAGGGGUCAAAACGUCAGGAAGCAAGCAAAGAUGACACUCAAAUGUAUGCAAGCUCUCCUUAGGGUGCAGGCUCGGGUUCGCGAACAACGUGCUCGCCUUUCACAUGAUGGAGGCCGCAGGUCUAUGUUUGCUGAAACCACUAAUUUAUGGGACUCUAAAUAUCUUCAUGACAUCCGAGACAGGAAGUCCAGAGUAAGCUCUACUUUCCACCUCAGGUAGUAUAAUACAGAACAAUAGAACCAGAGGCGGAUGCAGGAUUUAAGUUUUACCGGUUCAAUCCUGAAAGUUUUUUGUCAUGAACUCAUUGCAUCUUUAAUUCAAACCUACUACUUAGUGAAUUUUUACACUUAAAGUUUUGAUCUGCGUCCAAAGUAACUCUACAGCCGCCUCUGCUUAGAACCUCUUAAUUAAUCUCUGACAGAUAAAACUUUUGUACUAACUACAGUCUAGAGAUGGAAGCUCCAUAGCUGAUGAUUGGAGGGAUUGCCCGAGAUCGCUUCUAGAGCUGGAAUCAAUGUUACAAGCCAGAAAAGAAGCUUCCUUUAAACAGGAAAAAUCCCUUGCUCAUGCUUUUACUCAGCAGGUUCAACUAUCUUUAUCCCUUAAUUCUUGCGCUAAACAUGAAUUCACAUGCUAUUCUUUCAAGAAGUAAGCACUCAAUUACCUAGUCUUUAACAUAGGUAUGGGAUGAGAUGGAUCUUGGCAGUGAAGAAAGAAAUGAGAGAGAACUAGAAGAGACAGCAAAUUGGCUAGAUGAUUGGAUGUCGUCAAAGCAAUGGAACACGGUCAGCAGCAGAGGUUCAUUUGACAGAAGGGACUCUAUAAAGACUGUUGAGAUGGACACGGCUAAGUCCUAUUCUAACAUGGUUCCAAAUGCUCGAAGAUCACAACACUCGAGUCCACUUCACAGACAAGCUAGUAGUCCUCAUUGUGCUGCUAAUUCUCCCCAUCACCAGAGACCAUCACAUUACAAUUACUCCACAAUUCAACCACCAGCUACCCCACCCCCUUGUCAACCAAAACCUCUCCAAAUGCGCCCAACAAGCCCACGUAAAAGCCAAUCAACUGCAAACACUCCAUGCCUACGCUCCACUACCCGUUCAAACAGUAUAAUGUCUCGUUAUAGCACUUCAGGAAAUGAUGCAGCUACUGCAGUUCCUAAUUAUAUGGCUGCUACCGAGUCUGCAAAAGCUCGGAUUCGUUCACAAAGCACGCCAAAACAAAGGCCGUCUACGCCAGAAAGAGAAAGAGUUGGGUCCGUCAAAAAACGUCUGUCUUACCCAAUUCCUGAGCCAUAUUCUCUUAAUGCUACCUAUGGCUAUAGUCAGAACUUGAGAAGUCCUAGCUUCAAAAGUCUCCAAGCUGCCUAUCUGGGAAUGGAACAACAAUCAAACUACUCGUGUUACACAGACAGCCUUGGUGGAGAAAUUUCGCCUUGUUCAACCACUGAUUUGAGAAGGUGGUUAAGAUGAGAAAUCCAGCAAUAGUACUGAAUAAGGAUGACAGACACCAAAGCCAGCUCUUGUGUGUCCUAUUUUCUUUUAUUUAGACGGGAAAAUCAGGGUGUAGGUUAAUGCUAGUUAUAAAAGAAGCAAGAAAUGUCUCGCCCUGGUCUGUAUUUCUUUGUUCAUUUUCUAGUUUAUAGUAGAGGUAAAAUUUUGAAUUUUCUAAUGGUUCAUUUCCCUUAACCUCAAAUAAUUAACACUUUGGAAUUAUAUAUCAAUCAAAGUAAUCAAACACAUUUCAAUCCCAAACUAAUCAGGAUCAACUAUACUCUAUCGAGCUCAUUUCCUCAUAUAACAAAUAAUUUAUCUUCUAAAAUAAAUUGACGAUUCUCUAAAAUAGGUACUCUUAAAUUUUUACGCUCUUACUUAUAGUAACAUUCUUAGAAAAUACAAAACAUUCUGAUUUGCAGUAUUGGCAAUUGACACUGAUUUAUGUUGAAUUGACAAACAGAUUCAUACUUCAGUUAAACUAUACGAAUUAUGUACAAAGAGAUGGACGGAUCUGGACUUCAGCAUCAUGUGUUCUGCACUCAUAGCUUUUGCCUCAAAUCAUAUAGAAGUAAUAUAAUCUAAUGAUUAUAAAUAUGAGAAAUGUCUCUAUUGAGAAACCAAUCAACUAGAGAAGGAGAAUAUUGUUGUUCGGCCUCAAUGUAAGUAAAGCAAAAUCAAGAACAUCAGUAAGAAGAUACAGAAUAACUAACAAUUAGUCGAGAUACAUAUCACCCUUAUAAAAGAUAUUAACUGUUAAUGCGUGAAGGGGUUGAAGGAACAGUUAAAAUCAGUUGUGAAGUUUCUGUUGUCUUACUUGAGACAUAAUUGAAACCAUGAGUGCAGCAAGGACAAUCAAUGUUCGCAGACUUUGAAUGUUGACAGAUUUACUGAGAUACUCUCCCUUGCAAUUACCUCAGCAAAAUUUAGUGUCCAUUAAUAGAUGGACCCUUUUCAACCUGCACUAAUCGUACAAAAAGAAAAUAUCAGAGUGACUGUAAGAAACAUGUGCUUUACUGCAAGAGUACUAAUUGUGUCAUCACAUAUAUAACCAAAAACAAUCAUUUCAACAGAAAUGGUUAGGGACGCCGGUGUACUAACCUCUCGCUAUGCGUGAGGUCCG